UAGCACAGCGGUGUAAACAUGUUGAUUUAUGUGACAUUUCCAAGAAGAAGCGACAACAGAAAUCUCGUUCUGUGAAACAAUUAAAUAUAGUAGAUCUAUAUUGACAAAAGAAACAGUAUGCACAAUGAGUCAGGCUGGUACAUGAGGAAAAUUUCAACCAAUUUCACAAUGAUGGCAUGUUUCAUCUUUGUGCACUUCAUUGUUCCUGCUUGUGUUUCUAACAUUUAUCUGCCGACUACAAAAUAAGAGCGACAUGUUUAAUUCAGCGUGUCCUCGCUUCUGUUCUUGGAGUGCUUUAUGCAACUGCUCUAGCCUUGAAUUGGCAGGAAAAACAAGAUUUCCUGGUGGGGGGGGGGGGGGGGGGGGGGGUUGAGAAGAAGUUCAUUUUCCUCAUCCUGUUCCAAACACAAGGCUUUUCUUUUUUCUUGUCCAUUUUCUUUUUUUUUUUUUUUUUUUUAAACCACAGCAGCAGGCCCAUGUUUGUCUCCUUGUCACAGCUGUGCUCAGCAGAGAGGGUUGACCUUGGGGACAAUGACACCACACAAAGCAGCUAGCCGAGGCCGUGACCAGAACCACUGCGAGCACCCCUUGUCAAAACUGAAUGGCGGAAUUGGAGUGGACUAUCCAAAACGGGCUGGAAGUGCGAUAAUAAUGCAGCUAUAGAAAAGAAAAGUGAGUAAAGUAUGUACCUGGCGUUGUCGUCGAUGGAGGGUCGGGGUGCUGUCCAUAGAGGAGGUGGCACUGAGGGCAUUGUCUAUUUCCUGGUCCAACUGGUCCAGCUUCAUCAGCAGCAACACCAUCGA